GAUGAACGCUGGCGGCGUGCCUAAUACAUGCAAGUCGAGCGAACGGACGAGAAGCUUGCUCCCCUGCUGUUAGCGGCGGACGGGUGAGUAACACGUGGAUAACCUACCUCUAAGACUGGGAUAAUUUCGGGAAACCGGAUCUACUACCGGAUGAUAUUUUGAACCGCAUGGUUCAAAAGUUAUAGACGGUCUUGCUGUCUCUUAUAGCCGGUUCCGCGCUGCAUUAGCUAGUUGGUAAGGUAACGGCCUACCAAGGCAACGAUGCAUAGCCGACCUGAGAGGGUGAUCGGCCACACUGGAACUGAGACACGGUCCAGACUCCUACGGGAGGCAGCAGUAGGGAAUCUUGCGCAAUGGGCGAAAGCCUGACGGAGCAAUACCGCGUGAGUGAUGAAGGUCUUCGGAUCGUAAAGCUCUGUUGUUAGGAAAGAACAGAAGUGUAAGUAACCGUGGACAUCUUGACGGUACCUAAAGAAAAAGCCACGGCUAACUUCGUG
rnacentral:rRNA from 1 species